rnacentral:rRNA from 1 species
GACGAACGCUGGCGGCGUGCUUAACACAUGCAAGUCGAACGGAAAGGCCCUGCUUUUGUGGGGUGCUCGAGUGGCGAACGGGUGAGUAACACGUGAGUAACCUGCCCUUGACUUUGGGAUAACUUCAGGAAACUGGGGCUAAUACCGGAUAGGAGCUCCUGCUGCAUGGUGGGGGUUGGAAAGUUUCGGCGGUUGGGGAUGGACUCGCGGCUUAUCAGCUUGUUGGUGGGGUAGUGGCUUACCAAGGCUUUGACGGGUAGCCGGCCUGAGAGGGUGACCGGCCACAUUGGGACUGAGAUACGGCCCAGACUCCUACGUGAGGCAGCAGUGGGGAAUAUUGCACAAUGGGCGGAAGCCUGAUGCAGCAACGCCGCGGGCGUGAUGACGGCCUUCGGGUUGUAAACCGCUUUCGCCUGUGACGAAGCGUGAGUGACGGUAAUGGGUAAAGAAGCACCGGCUAACUACGUG